rnacentral:rRNA from 1 species
AGAGAGAGACAUGCGCGCAUAUCAAUAAGCGGAGGAAAAGAAACUAACUAGGAUUCCCUCAGUAACGGCGAGUGAAGCGGGAAGAGCUCAAAUUUGAAAUCUUCAAGGUUCUACCUUGACGAAUUGUAGUUUAAAGAAGUGUUUUCUGUUGGAGUUUUGGUAAAAGUUCUUUGGAAUAGGACAUCAUAGAGGGUGAGAAUCCCGUAUUUGACCAUUAUUUCCAGCUUUGUGAUACACUUUCAAAGAGUCGGAUUGUUUGGGAAUGCAGUCCAAAAUGGGUGGUAAAUUUCAUCUAAAGCUAAAUAUUGGCGAGAGACCGAUAGCGAACAAGUACCGUGAGGGAAAGAUGAAAAGAACUUUGAAAAGAGAGUUAAACAGUACGUGAAAUUGUCAAAAGGGAAGCGUUUGACACCAGUGUUGUUUUUCUGAAAAUCAAUUAAAGAACUGUUUAUGCUAAGUUGUUUAGACUUUAUCAGCUAACUGUUUAGUUUUGAGCUUUUCUUUAAUGCACUUUUCAGUUAACAAGUCAACAUCAAUUUCUUUUGCUGUAAAAAAGCUUGAGGAAGGUGGCUUGAGAUUCGUCCUUAAGUGUUUAUAGCCUCUUGCCUAUGCAGUCGGAGAGAUUGAGGUCUGCAGCGUAGAUCCUUCGGGGCUAAAUGCAUUUGUGCUAAGUUAUAGCAUUUUAUAGACAACUUGUUGACUAUGAUUUGUCUUGUAGCUUACUCGCUUAUGUUAUUUUACCUACGCUUAGGAUGUUGAUGUGAUACUGCGAGCA